rnacentral:rRNA from 1 species
GAUCCUGGCUCAGAUUGAACGCUGGCGGCAGGCUUAACACAUGCAAGUCGAACGGUAACAUAAAGAAGCUUGCUUCUUUUGAUGACGAGUGGCGGACGGGUGAGUAAUGCUUGGGAAUCUAGCUUAUGGAGGGGGAUAACUACGGGAAACUGUAGCUAAUACCGCGUAGAAUCGGGAGAUGAAAGUGUGGGACCUUCGGGCCACAUGCCAUAGGAUGAGCCCAAGUGGGGAUUAGGUAGUUGGUGAGGG